UGGGGAAUAUUGGACAAUGGGCGAAAGCCUGAUCCAGCCAUGCCGCGUGUGUGAAGAAGGUCUUCGGAUUGUAAAGCACUUUAAGUUGGGAGGAAGGGCAGUAAGUUAAUACCUUGCUGUUUUGACGUUACCGACAGAAUAAGCACCGGCUAACUCUGUGCCAGCAGCCGCGGUAAUACAGAGGCCCCAAGCGUUAUCCGGAAUCACUGGGCGUAAAGGGUGUCGAGGCGGUUGUAUUAGUCGUUCGUAAAAUCUACGAGCUUAACUUGUAGGCGGCGAACGAAACGGUACGACUUGAGGUUUGGAGAGGUGCGUGGAACUCACGGUGUAGGGGUGAAAUCCGUUGAUAUCGUGGGGAACACCAAAGGCGAAGGCAGCGCACUGGCCAAAAUCUGACGCUCACACACGAAAGCUAGGGUAGCGAAGAGGAUUAGAUACCCCCGUAGUCCCUGAGCGGGCUGGCAAGGCGCAU
rnacentral:rRNA from 1 species